AAUGAACGCUGGCGGCGCGCCUAAUACAUGCAAGUCGAGCGAGAAGACGUAGCAAUACGUUUGUAAAGCGGCGAACGGGUGAGGAAUACAUGGGUAACCUACCCUAGAGUGGGGAAUAACUAGCCGAAAGGUUAGCUAAUACCGCGUACGCUCCUUGGACUUCGGUUCAGGGAGGAAAGCGAUGCCGAGGGUAUCGCGCUCUUGGAUGGGCUCAUGUCCUAUCAGCUUGUUGGUGAGGUAACGGCUCACCAAGGCUUCGACGGGUAGCUGGUCUGAGAGGACGAUCAGCCACACUGGCACUGCGACACGGGCCAGACUCCUACGGGAGGCAGCAGUAAGGAAUAUUGCGCAAU
rnacentral:rRNA from 1 species